GCGGGCGUGGCGGAAUUGGCAGACGCGCCAGGUUUAGGUCCUGGUGGGGAAACCCGUGGGAGUUCAAGUCUCUUCGCCCGCACCA
rnacentral:tRNA from 1 species